GGUGCAAGCGUUAUCCGGAUUCACUGGGUUUAAAGGGUGCGUAGGUGGGUAGGUAAGUCAGUGGUGAAAUCUUCGAGCUUAACUCGGAAACUGCCGUUGAUACUAUCUAUCUUGGAUACCGUGGAGGUGAGCGGAAUAUGUCAUGUAGCGGUGAAAUGCUUAGAUAUGACAUAGAACACCAAUUGCGAAGGCAGCUCGCUACACGAAUAUUGACUCUGAGGCACGAAAGCGUGGGGAUCAAACAGG
rnacentral:rRNA from 1 species